UGUUAUUCUAUGAUUCCCUCAGUGUCAGUUUCAAGAGCCGAUUCGAUCCAAAGCAUCAACAGAAGUUUAGCUGUGAUUGAGUUCACUGAUGCCAGAUCAGGUCAUGUGACGCUCUAACCAGUGAAGUCAACAAGUCAGAUGUUACAGUCUGAUGCUGAACAGACCAGAGAUAUCAGUUCAUAUUUUGAAAGAAUUGCAGUAAGAAAGAAGAAAAAGCAAGAUGACAGUGACCAGACCUUUUUGGAGGACCAGUUGUUUACUUCAUCAUCAUCAUCAUCAUAAUCAUCAUCAUUAGAAAAGGCACAUUAUGAGGAACCACAUGGACAUUUUCCUGUUGCAUUUCUGGAAAAAGAACAGAAACAUUCUGUUUAGGCUUGGACAUUAUUUAGCAUGAGACAAUUUCUUGAUGAACUGUAAAUAAAAAUCAUAUUGCACAAGAAAAUGCAAUGUUUAAUAUUACAUUAACCAGAAUAUGAAUUUAUAGCCAAAUAUUCUAUGCGUCAUGAUCAAACGUCCUGCUACACCAAUGAAAUGCUGUGAUUUGUACAUUUAACCAGCUCAAAACCCCUGUGAAGUUUGUGGGAUUCGGGUAAUUUGGAAAAUACAUACAUAAUGAAAACAGUAAUGCUUGAAAAUUUCUUUUGAAAAUUCAUUUGGAUUGUCUAAGGGUUUUAUGUUCAUGUCAUGUACUGUAAUAUGCAGGAUGUCAGCACCUCACUGGAGAGAGAAAACUGUGUUUUAUUAUUUAAAAGAUUUAUAAUAAAUAAAAGAAGGUCAUUAUA